AAAAGAAACUUGACAGUGUUACAAAAUUACCUCCUGUGAAAUAGCAAGACUAUUUCUUAUGGAAUAAACAAGAAAGAAUCUUGUUCUACCGAAUUCUUGACUCACCAACACAAUUUUUUUUUUUUUUUUGGAGACAGAGUUUCACUCUUGUUGCCCAGGCUGGAGUGCAGUGGCAUGAUCUGGACUCACUGCAACCUCCACCUCCCAGGUUUAAGCAGUUCUCCUGCCUGAGCCUCUCGGAUUACAGAUGUCAGUACUUUGUGUGCUCUUGAAAUAGGAAAUGUACAGAUCCCUAUUGCCAGACACAUCAUUCUCUCCAUCCAGAAAGCCAACUUUGCAAGGACAAAAAAAAAAAUUAGUGUGAAACAAAAUGUGGCUUUUCCAAAGACAGAUGUGAUUAUUUAUAGUCAAUGUGGCCUCAAAAUGUCAUUGAUUGUGAAAUAGCAAACAUGCAGGAUCAUAAUAUUUGGACGGAAUCUUGCACUGUCUCCCAGGCUGGAGUGCAGUGGCACGAUCUCUGCUCACUGCAACCUCCGCCUCCAGGCUUCCAGUGAUUCUCCUGCUUCAGCCUCCCGAGUAGCUGGGACUACAGGCGCACCUCACCACACCCAGCUAAUUUUUAGUAUUUUUAGUAGAGACGAGGUUUCACUAUGUUGGCCAGGAUGGUCUCGAUCUCCUGACCUCGUGAUCUGCCCACCUCGGCCUCCCAAAGUGCUGGGAUAAUAUGCAUGAGCCACAGUG
rnacentral:lncRNA from 10 species